GUAGCGAAGGCGGGGUGGGGGUGGAGGGGUUCUCCAGUGGUUUCCGAGUCAGGAGAAAACCCGUCACUGGUAACUGAGAAAGUGUUGGUGAUCAGCGUGUGUAUUGUGUGCGGGGCCACUCAUGGCCUGCAGUUCACUUCCUGCUCGCAGUGGCCCCUGGGCUCAAGGCUGGUGCCGCCUCUCUACUGGGGAGCGGUGGAGAGGCCUAACGGGGCAAGCAGUGCACCCCAACCCCAGCGCCGCCCUCAGCCCAGCCCCGCCUGUGCCGCAGGGGGAGUAGCUGCCGCCUCGCUUUGGGCCAGGGGGAUCCCCCUUGUUCCGGGGACGCCUUCUUCUCCCAAGCCUGCUCCUCCGGAGACGACUUCCGGUGGCCAGGUGGGGGCGCCCGCAGCUCCAGGAGACCCGGCCUCUCCUCUGCGCCUUUGCUUUGUGGCUCCUCUUCCCAGAACAGCGCCUAGCAUAUGUGCAGUGGUGUAGUCGCUCAACAGUUGGCAGCCGCCUACUGUGUGCGGGACCAUGCAGAGACGGCAAGGUCAGCGAAACGCAGUGUGGCAGGUAUCUCGUUGCCACCUCCCUUUACCACUGCCUCUUUCUGCUACUGAAAUUUGAAGACACAAAACAAAACACCCCCAGCCAAACCCAAUCUCUGAUCCCCAUGUGGCCGCAGCGCAUUCCUUGGUUUUGUUGAUCUCAACAUCCAGCAUUGCCAACCCUGGCGUGUGUACUGGUUGUUGAUUGACUACGUGAUCACACACAUGCCAUAUAUGGUGCUAGAUUAUUGUGUUUGUUUUGCCAUUGGGGAAACUGAGGUCUGGAGAGGUAGAAUGACUUGUUCAAGGUGACACUUAUGGGUCAUGGCCGAGGUGAGAUUUGCGCUUUGACCUGCUGUGCCCUUCUGCCUGCUGUUUGGUCACCGCUACGUCCACAGGUGACCAUGGCACCUGCCAUCACUGGAUGACAUGGAGUCUUGCGUGGCUAUUGACCGCCAGAUGUCACGCAUUCCUUGCCCGUGGGGAGGCAGGAAGGGACCGGGCACUCCUCUCCCUCCACUCCCCUCCCCCUCAGCUUCCGGCCCCCACGCGGCGUGGUGACAGGUGCCGAGCUGCGGAGAUGACAGCGUGCUCGUCCCCCGUAAUUACUGUCUGAUGAGUCGCCCGAAUUAGCCUCCGCUCAAGCAUGGGACGCGGGUGCAGACACCCCGGGCACAGCGCGGGAGGCGCGGGGGAGGGGCGGCGGGAGCACGGGAGGGGGCAGGGCCGGUCAGGGCAGCCUGCGACCGAGACCGACCGGAGGGCAGGAAAGAUGGUUCUGGGGUCUCCCAUUGCCCUGAAGGGGGGUGGGCGCAGACUGUGGCUCCUACUGAGGAAGGAGCCCGAGAGCACCGGGCCGUGCAGAUAGUGAGCUUCCCAUUCCUGGAGGGAUCCAAGCCCCAGCUAGCUGGCACUGGUGGACAGGGAGGACCUGCAGUUUCACCUCCUCACAGCCUGGGGACAGGGAAGGCUUUGUACCUGCUAGGCGUGGAAGGGGGUUCUGGGGUCUCUCCAAGACUGCUACCCUCCCCCGUCCCAGCCCGGGGGCCCCUCUGCCUGGCUGGGGGGACUUGGUGGUAGAAUCUGCAUCUGCCGGAGGGCAGCAGGGUGAAGGGAGAGAAGGGGAUCUGGCUGAGGACCCCACAGUUGAGAUCAGGCUCCCCCCUUUAUCCACCCGACCUCCAGAGGCUGCGCCUUCCUGAGCCUCAGUUUCCCUCCUCGAGCAAUACAGAGAGCAAGGAGGGUCACGUGGCUCGGGGUGCAAGGUGACUGUGUUGACGAGGCGGGUCAUCAGAGGUGGCAUCACUGCGCGGCUGGCCCGGUCAGACGGGGGAACGGGGUGCCCACUGCCUUUCAGCCUGAGCUGGAGCUGGAGCUCGCUGAUCCGGCCCAUCUGUGAGGGACUGGAGCAGCAGAGGUGGGUGGGGCUGAAGAUGCAGGGAGGGGCCUGGGCCGCUGGGCUUGUGUAGGAGUUGGGUCACUGGGGGCUGAGGGAGCUGUCUCCAAGCUGGGGUCAUGGGGCCGGAAUGAGGCCUGACCCAGGAGGACCAGAAGGGUCUGGGGAUGGCCUGGUCUUCUACCCAGUAUUUUGUUUGUUUAUUUGUUUGGUACUGGGGAUCAAACUCUGGACCUUGCAGGCAGUGGGACCUCUGAGCUAAAUCCCUGGCCCUUAUUUUGUUUUUGUUUUUUUGAGACAGGGUCUUUCUGUGUAGUCUAGGCUGGCCUUGAACUCACUGCAACCCUCCUGCCUCAGCCUCCAGAGUGCUGGGGUUAUGGGUGUGCACCACCACGCUUGGCUAUGCCUGAUAUUUAUGAGGCCCUGGAUGAAUACUUAGUGUGGACACUGCUUCCCAGGUGCCACCGGGUGACCGAUUUGUGAGGCUCCUCCCCCACUGCCAGCAGACUGGGGUCUCCUGUGGGGAUCGGCUGCCCUGCUCUGGCCAUGCUUCUGCCAGACCCAGCUUUUGGGGUGCAAGGGAGGGCCCUGUGCUCCCACACCAAGGUACCCAGGGGGCAGGGUGCCCAGGCAGCCUCCCUCCCUCCCUGCCCUUGAGAGCUCUGCUCUCCCCUCCCUGCUGGCUGCCUCUCCAAGAGCCCACAGGACACCUUCCCAGGCGCGUGAGUGGAGGAGACGCCACGCCGGAGCUAGCGUGUGAACAUGGCGCCGAGUGGGCACACGCAGGGCUGUUCCCAGCUUUGCCAGCUCCAGCUUCAGACUGCAUCUCCACCCCCUCCCUUCCCAGGGAAGCCAAUUAGGCCAGUCUUCCUUGGAAGCUGAUUGCAAAAGCCCACCAUCCGGGGAUGGCGCACCUCUGACAGCGGAGUCAGGACACCAGGGGCCGCUCAGGGAGGAACUGGGGCUCCUCACCUCCUUGGCCUGAUGCCUUUGUGCAGUGCACAACCUGUACACCUGACUGGGAGGAGUUUUGUUUUUGUUUUUUAAACAAAUGAGCCGACAGAGGCCCCUGACCUCCUCAAGGUCACAUAAGUCAUCAGUUGGCAGAGCAGGGUUUGAGCAGAGCUUCCUCACCCUCAAAUUCACCGAUUUUUGGUAAUUCUAUAGCUUGCCGGCUGUGCGUGGGUGGACUGGAGUGGGGAGAACAGGGAGGGUUGUGUCUCAGAUUCUCACUUGGCUGUUUGGAAAGAGGCGGGUCUCAUCGGAGCGUGGGAUGGGGUCAUCCUGCUGGGACCCAGCUGCUGCAUGCUGGGCUGGGCCAGGUACAGGGCAGGGUGCCCUGCACCUGACCCCCUCAGCUGGUGCGGCGUCACUGUGCUCUGACUUGAGGUUGUCAUGUGGUGUCCUGCCAGAGCCUGUGGCCUGCGGAGGGCCCCUGACAGCUGCUUUCUGGGAGGCGCAACAGCGAAAUGGAAAAAUCCUGUCCCCAGGGCUGGGACACCUGGUCUCACUUCUGGCUCCGCCUCCAGCUCCCGGGAGGAGCUCCCCGGUGAACGGCCUUUGGGUGCAGCCCGAGGUUUCUGGCACUGGCAGGGUGGCAGGGGAAAGGUCUGGCGAUGUCCCUCCUCCUCGCUAAGGGAUGGGAGCUGAAGUGGCCUCUCCUGCCAGGGCCCUGAUGAGUGAUAGCAGUGGGGGAGCUGGGGUGGCAGGACCCAGAGAGGGCACUGAGGCCAAGCCUGGGAUCUUUGCUCCCAGCCCUGUACCCCUCUGGAGGUAGUUUUGGGGUCUCUACACCACCCCCACCCCAGUCCCGUUCUCCUGGGUGGAUUGGUCCCCGUGCCAUCAGGGAGGCCCCCUGGCUUCGGGAGGGGACAAGGGACAGGCUCGGUCCCCGUGGGAAGCUCUCCAGGGCAGGUGAGUCCCCCCAGCCCUGUGAGGCCCCUUCAUUAGAUUCCAACUCAUUUACCCACUAAGUGGCCUUCGGUGGGCUUUAAAUUUGUGCAAAUUGGUUUGUGUUUUUCUGCCUGCUGAAGCUGUGAGUGGCAGUUCCCACAUCCUCCCCGGCUCCCUCCUGGGCCCUGUCGUCGAUGUCCCUCAACCCCGAGCGAGCUUCCUGGGCAGAGAGCCCAGGGGCACAGGCCACGCCCUGAAGGGGGUCCAUGUGAUGACCCCUGUGCCAUGAAGGCACAGUGACCUGUCCCCGCUCUUCACGGUGGCUCUGAGGGGCUGGGCUGUCACCGGCCCGGGGCUUCCUGAUACCCUCUGGCCUUGCUCAGCUUCCCUGCCACCCGUGGUGCCCAGGCAGUGGGCUCUGCCCCCCUUACUCUCCUGUCUCCCUUCUCAGCCCUGGGGGGCUGGGCCUCCUUGGGGACCUGGUGAUGCCAGCUCACUCGGCCGUGCCCUGUGUCCCCCAGGCCUGCCUCUCUCGGCACCAGGAAGGGACUGCAUUGGGUCCUUCCCCAUGCUCUCUCCCAGCCCAGGCGGGCUCUCCCGAGGUGGCCUGGCACUCAGGGUGGAGAGUCUUGGGGUGAGCCUUCAGGCCCCUGGGGGGGAGCUGGGCUGAGCCUCCGUCUAACCCUGGGCCAGAGCCGGCUCCUCCCUCCAGUCCGCACCCCGCCAGGCUCAGAGUCCCUUGUCCAAGCGACAGGGAGACUCAACAGGGCUCUGGGCAUUAGCAAUUUGGGGGGCUAUUACACAGGAAUGUUUACUGAAAGGCAAUUGCCCGGAAAAUGACUUUGGUUGCUUCGGUGUGAGGCGGAAAAGCUAGUUUUAGAAAACACACAGAUGGGCCUCAGCUCCAAGCACCCACACACAGGCGGCCGGGUGAGGGGGCAGGCACCGGGGGACACGGAGCCAGGCACCCCGAGUCCCUCACUGGGCACGGGGUGGGCCCGGCUCCCAGAAGCUCUGUCAGGCUUGAGUGGCCCGGGUCCCUGGUUGACCUCUGACCUCCGGGCUGCGUGGAUGGAGCUGCUAGGACAAUUGGUGGCAGCGCCUCGGGAGGAGCUGUGCGUGUGCACGCGUGUGAGGGUGGUGUGGGUGCGUGUGCGCAUGCGCGGCACUCUGGGGCCCUCCGCCCUCCAGCAAUCAAUCGCACACUGUCUUUGCCCUGCCCGGUGCCGGGGCUCCUGACCUGGCGCCCCUGUGGUCAGGGCCACUGGAGUGACUGUUGGUCUCCCUGGGAGGGACCUUGCCUGGCCUCUCGGGCACCAGGGGCAGGAGACGGGGUCCUGAGGGGCAGGCGGCCCGCAGGGGCUCCCCAGCCCUGGCGCGUCUCCCUCCGCUUGUCCCCUUUGUCUCUCUCCCGCCUUCUCCCCCACCCUGCUCUCCGUUCUCUCCUCUGAAGAUGAUGUCAUGUGUGAACGUCGCCCAGCCAGAGGCAGCCAGAGGACAGGGACUGGUGACAUCCGGGGAAAGGACGCCAGGUGGGGACGGGCCUGCCGGUUUAGCAGACGGUGGCGCCGAGCUGGAGGAUCUUCCUUCUCCUGAAGAGUGACAGUGAUCGCAUGCGGGCACCUGCGCCUCUACUCGUGGCCAGCCACUGGGGGGCGCCCGCCGCCUCCUCAUCCGCAGGUCUGAACGGAGGGCGACACAGGCCCCUGCCCAGGCCCAGCCUCUGCUUCCCUUCCUGCUGAGGCUCCCUGUCACGCGUGCUGGCAUCUUCCUGCACCUCGUCCUGGGCAGGCGUGACCUCAGGCGCCCAACAGGCUGGGGGAGUGAAGUCAUUUCCAGAACAGCACCCCCAUUAGAAGCCCAGGCUGCUCCUCCCAGUCCCUGUGGGCCCCACAGAAAAAAGUUGAAUCCAUGCAACAGGUGUGGAACCCCGGAUCACCUGCACGCGCCAUCCUUCUCUCUGAACCUCGGGGUCCUUCCUUGUUAAAUAAAGCCAAGAUCUGGAA